UCGAACGCGAAAGUUUCCUUCGGGAGAUGAGUAGAGUGGCGCACGGGUGAGUAACACGUAGGUAAUCUACCUUCGGGUGGGGAAUAACCCAGGGAAACUUGGGCUAAUACCGCAUAAUGCAGCGGCACCACAUGGUGACAGUUGUUAAAGCGGGGGAUCUUCGGAUCUCGCGCCUGAAGAGGAGCCUGCGGCAGAUUAGCUAGUUGGUAAGGUAAUGGCUUACCAAGGCGACGAUCUGUAGCCGGCCUGAGAGGGCGGUCGGCCACACUGACACUGACAUACGGGUCAGACUCCUACGGGAGGCAGCAGUCGGGAAUUUUGGGCAAUGGGCGAAAGCCUGACCCAGCAACGCCGCGUGAAGGAUGAAAUCCCUCGGGAUGUAAACUUCGCAAGAAUAGGAAGAAUUAGUAGGGGUUAAUACCCUCUAUGAUGACGGUACUAUUUGUAAGCUCCGGCUAACUCCGUGCCAGCAGCCGCGGUAAUACGGGGGGAGCAAGCGUUGUUCGGAUUUACUGGGCGUAAAGGGCGCGUAGGCGGUCAGCACAAGUCAGUUGUGAAAUCUCCGGGCUUAACUCGGAAAGGUCAACUGAUACUGUGCGACUAGAGUGCGGAAGGGGCAACUGGAAUUCUCGGUGUAGCGGUGAAAUGCGUAAAUUUCGAGAGGAACACCUGCGGCGAAGGCGGGUUGCUGGGCCGACCCUGACCCUGAUGCGCGAAAGCCAGGGGAGCGAACGGGAUUAGAUACCCCGGUAGUCCUGGCCCUUAACGAUGGAUGCUUGGUGUCUGGAGUUUUAUAGUCUCCGGGUGCCGUAGCUAACGCGUUAGCAU
rnacentral:rRNA from 1 species